rnacentral:rRNA from 1 species
GACGUAGGGCGCGAGCGUUGUCCGGAUUUAUUUGGGCGUAAAGAGCUCGUAGGCGGCUUUGUCGCGUCAACUGUGAAAACCCGUGGCUCAACCAUGUGGUCUGCAGUCGAUACGGGCAGGCUAGAAUUCGGUAGGGGAGACUGGAAUUCCUGGUGUAGCGGUGAAAUGCGCAGAUAUCAGGAGGAACACCGGUGGCGAAGGCGGGUCUCUGGGCCGAUAUUGACGCUGAGGAGCGAAAGCGUGGGGAGCGAACAGG